rnacentral:misc_RNA from 1 species
CAUUGGAAAUUAUUCUUCGGUUGAAUAACAAUGUUUUCUUUUGGGAUGGCAAGUUAUAUUCAUGAGAUUUAAUAUUUUAUGCAUGAUACUUACAUAAAAUAACAAAGAACCAUAAGUGGUUAUUAUUUACAUUGUGAAAAAGAAAAACCGAAAUCAUCUUGAAUCUGAUGUUAUCUUCACAUUAUACAUGUUACUUAGAGGAAUUUGUACUGUAGGAAAACUUUCUUCUAAUGUGUGCAUUAGGAAAACUUUCUUCUAAUGAUUGUGAAAAUGCUUUAAAGUUCUUCAUUGCUUUUGCAUGUAAUUGAAUUGCCCCUUUUUUCGUGGUUGUUUCAUCCAAUCAAUGAUUUUUUUGGUGGGUUCAACAUCUUUGUGUUUUCUGAAUUCUCCUAUUUUUGCUUGAUUCUAAAUGUAAUGCAAUGUACAGCAUUUCUACUUUUCACUGGUUUCUGUGUAUUUGAAGACAUUAUUAUUGAAUAUCAAAGUAAAAGGUUGGCAGAAGUUUCUGUUGAUGACCUUACCUUAGGUAAGUACAAGAGGAAUGGGCCAGGGCUACUGGUUUACCCAUAUAUGGUGCUCAAGUGGUCAACUUUGAUGGGAACAUAUGGACUUUCAUGCUGUUAUAAAUUGUGCUGUUAAUGAAAGCUUUUGUGCGCUUGUGAAUAAUUACUCAAAACAACCUGCAAAGCAGAAGAGGCAGUUCCCAAGGAACUGGACAGUACCAGAAUGACGAGCUCCAUUCAGAAGUAU